UCAAAUAUAGAUUAAAAUUCUACUUAUAAAUAAGAAUACUGUAAUUUCUUAGUUAUUGGUUAAGAAACACUGUUAUUGAAUAAUAUGGUCUUUCAGAUAGAUAGCCUUUUGUCAUUUUACGGAACUUGGGGAAAGAUGUUGCAGAUUUAAGUUGUAGAGGGAGAUGGUUGUAUAUGUAUAGUUUUUUUUGCAGUUGCAUUAUGUUCAGGUUGACAUCAGGAAAAAGUUAACUAUUCAAAAAUGGGUGGAAAUGCAUAAUUGCACUGUAAAGUGCCAUAAAUGCAUCCAAAAUUGCAUAAAUAUAAAAAUAAAGUCAAAAUCAGAAUACUAAGGAACAAAAUUUAUUAUUUGGGGGGUUUUGGGGUGACUGAAUACGAUUACGCAAUCAGAACUGACCCCCGGAUUACCUGGUGCCCAAGGUCAGUACAAGAGACGUCAUCUUCUGGAGUUUCGAUGGUUUUCGGCAUUAAAUCGAUGCAAACGGAUUACUCACCGGUUUUAGGGGUCACUAAGUACUAAUAUGCCAUCAGAAUUGACCUCCGGAGUACCUGGUGCACAGGGUCGCUACUAAGGCACGUCAUCUUCUGGAGUUUCGAGGGAUUUCGGCACUAAAUUGAUGCAACUGGACUAUUCGGGGGUUUUUGAGGUGGUUGAACACGAAUAUGCCAUCACAACAGACCUCUGGAUCACCUGGUGCCCAAGGUCACUACAAGGGACGUCAUCUUCUGGACUUACGCGUGCUUUCAGUACGUAUUAAAUUAAUACAAACGGAAUACUUACGGGUUUCUGGGAUCGCUAAACACGAGUAUGCCAUCAGAAUUGAAUUCGUUCAGGAGUACCUGGUGCCCUGGAUCUCUACUAAGGCACGUAGUCUUCUGGAGUUUCGAGUGUUUUCGGCAUUAAAUUGAUGUAAACGGAUUACUCACGGGUUUUUUGGGGUCGGUAAACACGAAUAUGAUAUCAGAACUGAACUCCGGAGUACCUGGUGCUCAGGGUCGCUACUUGGGCACGUCAUCUUCUGGGGUUUCGAGGGUUUUCGGCAUUUAAUCGAUGCAAAUGGAUUACUGGAGGGUUUUUGAAGUCGCUUAACACGAAUAUACCAUCAGAACCGACCAACUGUGCACCUGGAGCCCAAGGUCACUGCAAGGGACGUUGCUUAUAGGUAUAGGAACACAUUACUUAUAGGUUUUUGGGGAUGCUGAACACGAAUACCCAAUCAGAACAAACACAGGAGGACCUGAUGCCGAAGGCAUUUCAUCUUCUGGAAUUUCAAAAGUUUUAGAUACUCAAUUGAUGCAAACAGAUUACUCAUGGGUUUUUGGGGUUGCUAAACACAAAUACGCCAUCAGAAGAGACACCGGAGCACCUGGGCCUAAUGCACGUUAUCCUCUGGAGUUUUGAGGGCUUUUGGCAUUAAAUCGAUUCAAACGGAUUUUUGGGGUUGCUGAAGACAAAUACGCCGCCAGAACAAACACCGGAGCACCUGACGCCUAAGGUAUAUCAUCUUAUGGAGUUUAGAAAAAUUUUGGUACUAAAUUGAUGUAAACGAAUUGCUCAUGGGUUUUUGGGUUUGCGGAAUACGAACUCUACUAUGUUGAUCUAUUUAUUUUUUUAUAUCAGUGUUAUUAUGCGUUGACGUUAUUAGUAAUUACCGUAAUCACAAGAUACUCCAGAAUUCCUCAUGUAAGCCAUAUUCGUGUUCAACAACCCCAAAACCAAAAAGUAAUCCAUUUUCCAUCAAUUUAGUACCGAAAACUCUCGAAACUCCAAAAAGUAACGUGCUUUAUGCACCAAGUGCUUCGGUGUCUGUUCUGAUGGCGUUUUCGUGUUCAGGUACCUCAGGAACCCAUGAGUAAUCCGUUUUCAUCAAUUUAGUACCGAAAAGACUCGAAACUCCAGAAGAUGACCUGCCUUAGGCACCAGAUGCGGUGUGGGUUGGGUCUAAUGGCAUAUUCAUGUUCAGCAACCCCAAAAACUCAAGAGUAAUGCGUUUGCACUAAUUUAGUACCGAAAACUAUCGAAACUACAAAAGAUAACGUGCCUUAGGCACCAGGUGCUCCGGUGUGUGUUCUGAUGGCGUAUUUAUGUUCAGAAACCCCAAAAAUCCAUGAGUUAUCCAUUUGUAUCCAUUGGCAUUUGGCCCCCAUUUUGAUGGUGGGCAGGCCCGGGUUUACCCCUACUAGCGCCCUAGGCCCAGCUGUUUUUACCGCCCUGCCUCCCUCAUCCACUCCUCUCCCUGUAGCUGGCCCCCUGCCCAGUGAUGAAACACUCAUUUAAAAAAAAAUAAAGGGAGGGAUGACUCAAGUUAAAGAGGAAUCGUCGAAAGCUUUUAUUUUCAAUCUUACAAAAUUAAGACCAUUUCUGGCAUAAGUUGAGUAUUAAUAUAAUAACAAGCAAACAAAAAAAGAAGAAAAUACCAUUGUUUCACCAAUCACCAAGGUUACAUUGCUUUACGCCUAGCUUUUUGACGGGCAAAAUCAUCAAUGAGGUCUUCAUACGCAAUUCUUUUGGUGAUGCGCUGCUCAAUAUUAAGAAGGGAUAACGCUGUCAAUCUUUCAGUUCCCAUUGUUGACCGAAGGUAAUUCUUGACGCGUCGCAAGGUUGAAAAUGAGCGUUCUCCGGAACAGUUUGAGACAGGUGAGGAGAGAAUAAUACGGAGUGCUAUGUCAAUGUUCGGGCACAUUUCUAGAGCACCAUUUUCAUAAAGAAAUUUAGAGUCCGGAAAUACUUGAGGUUUUUUUCACUUUUUGGUCACCUGUUAUCUCCCAAAGCGAUGGCUCACAUUGGCCCAAAUAAGCUUGCAGAUAAAAACAUUCAUCAGUUAAUGAUAUUUCGAGAUCAUUUGGGUAUAAGGUCACUAGGUGAUUAGCUUUUUCUGUAAUGACAUCGGAGGUCUGUAAGUCAGUGUUCUCAAAAAACCCAAAAAUUGAAUGAAUGUCACUAUAUUUAUCAGCGCGUUUACGUAGCUCAGUGCUUAACUUGUCCCGAGAAGCAAAUAAUAUAAUGGAAUCGACGUUUAAUCAAAAGUAACGCGUAAAUAACUCGAGAAUGUUGAUAUUCCCACCUUCACACUCCACCAAACGCGAUUGCUUCAAUUCCAUGCAACGCAAGGCAACUCCUACCGAUAGGUAGCGUAAGUGUAACAGUGUAAGUACAGGAAUCAUCGUGGUAUUGACGUAUUGUUUGUUUUCUCGCGUCUCGGCAUUCCUUCCUUCCCCCGCGUUUUCAUUAGUCGCCCUCAAAUUUCUGUCCCAUUGAAUUGAAAACAUCUGAAAUUUUGCGCCCCUCAAAAUCUUGCGCUCUAGGCUCAGGCCUAGUCGGCCUUAUGGGAAACCUGGCCCUGAUGGUGGGGAAGGGGUGGUGGGUUAAAAUUACGUUAUUAAGUAUUACUAGUCUCAUGAGCCACUCUCUCAAGCUACUUCUUAAGAUAAUUCUUAAUAUAAUCAAGCAGAAAUGUGAAGAGACAAUGGGAAACAAACAAUUCGGUUUCAGAGAAGGAUUGGGAACAAGGGAAGCUUUGUUCUCAAUGUUAACAUUACUUCAACGAUCAUGGGAAGUACAGAAACCAAUUUACGUCUGCUUUAUAGAUUUUGAGAAGGCGUUUGAUAGAGUUCAACAUAAUAGGUUGUUUGAAUAUCUAGAAAUGAUUGGAAUAGACGAUAAAGAUCUGAGACUUUUACAACAUCUAUAUUGGUAUCAAGAAGCUUCUAUUCUGGUAGACGGCAAAGAAACAGACAAAAUUUGCAUUCAAAGAGGUGUCAGACAGGGUUGUGUGUUAUCCCCAACUUUGUUUAACGUAUACUCAGAAAUAAUUUUUAAUGAAGCCUUGGAAGGACAAUGUGGAGUUCGAAUCGGGGGAGAAACUAUUAGCAACAUCAGAUAUGCAGACGACACCGCGAUCAUGGCUGAAAAUAUCGAAGAUCUUCAAUUCCUUAUAGAUCGAGUCGCUAGAGAAUGCUCCAAUAACGGACUUAACAUAAAUGCAACAAAGACAAAGUUACUUGUGGUUAGUAAACAAGACGUCGGCCCUAUGCAACUAAUUGUCAAUGAUGAAUCAAUAACAAAAGUUAACCAUUUUAAAUACCUAGGAUGUUGGAUAAACGAGACACUAAAUCGGAUGAAGAAAUUAAAACUCGUAUAGAAAUUGCAAGAGGAGCAUUUAUGAAACUUAGAUCUAUUCUGAGCAACUCUCAGCUGAACUUACAACUAAGAAUCAAGUUCCUAAAAUGUUAUGUGUAUCCUGUAUUACUAUAUGGAUGUGAAACCUGGAUCAUGAAGGUUAACAUGAUGAACAAAUUAGAAGCCUUUGAGAUGUGGUCGUAUCGUAGAAUGCUCAGAAUAUCUUGGGUUCAACGCAUUUCAAACAGAGAAGUCUUAAACAGAGUAGGUCAAGGCGAAGGUGACUUAAUGAAGAUGAUAAAAAAGAGAAAACUUGAAUAUCUGGAGCAUAGAAUGAGAGGUAGCAGAUACAGGAUGCUGCAGUUAAUACUCAAUGGAAAGAUCGACGGAAAAAGAGGAAUUGGUCGAAAGAAAUAUUCAUGGCUCCGAAACCUUCGUCAAUGGACUGGCUUAUCAGCAGAUCAAUUGUUACAUGCCACACAAGAUCGAGAACGAUAUCGGCAAAUUGUUAUGGAAGCUACCCACGCCUUAAAAUUUGGGCACGGUACUUAAAGAAGAAGAAGUCUCAUUUGUUAAUCACAUAGAACUUAAAAAGUGAAAUAAAUUGAAUUCUGUUAGUGAGAGGGGGUACCUUUUAAUUUAUUUAUCCUGUCCAUAAGUGGAAACUUUGAUGCGCCACUGUCGACGCAUGUGCGUCACUAAAACGUGACGGCAUAGUGUUCAUACAUUUACUUUUAGGUUCUACUAUUUAAGUUUAGGCUCUUAUCGUGCCUAAAAUGACUAGCAAAUUUCACCUAUACCGGCUAUUAGUGUAAUAGCGCGCGAAUUCAGUCUUAUUCGGCUACGCCAGCCGCUACGUCCACUAUUUUUUACUCGGAACGCAAAAUACUCUUUGUUUAUAACACUUCUGUUUAAACAAUUUGUAAUAUUUUUUCUAGCUAAAAAUUUUGUUGAAAACUUUGUCUUUUCUUAUAAAAGACUGGUUAAUUUCAGCUCUUAAUGUUGUUAAGUAACGUAACAGUGAUUUAAAAAAAAAGUCAGUCAGGGUGGUAUGACUUUUAAUUUUUUUUAAGUUGUGUAUUUUAAUCAGCUUUCCGUAUUUUUUAUUGCCAUUUAAUUUAAUCUAAUUUCCACGGAGUUUUGUAAUUGUUUAUAAGCUUAAAAAGUGCUAUUUAUUAACAAAUAAUUUUGAUUACAUAAAUGUAACUUUUUUUUAAAUUUUUUUCAUAGGCUAUUAGUAUACAUUUCAUCUUAACGAAGGAAAUAAGCCCCAGAUCAUUGAAAUCCAUUCAGCCAAAUUAACUGGACCAGACUCAGAAAUUAGCUCGUUUUUCAAAAAAUUUUAUAAACAAAUUCAAUUUCGCAAAAACUAUUUAACAGAUCUAGACCAUUUUUUGCACACCAUUCAAACGCUAUAAUACCCUCAAGUUUAUAUACAUUUAAACAAAUUUUAAUCAGCAAUAAAAUUGUUAUUAACAAUAUCCAAAAACAGCGAUUUUGUCGGCCGUUUUGCAAUAACUUUUUUAUUUAUUAACCGAUUUUCAUUUAGCGUAUCUCAUUCUAUGUAUAUUUUUUGUCUGAAAAAGUUACCUGUGAACGUCAAAACUCUAAAUAAACAAGUUUUUUAAGUUAUGAGCAAAAACUAAGUUUGACGUUUUUGUUGUUAAUUUAAUUUAAAAAUUGUUCCACAAAAAAAAUUGAUGAAUCCCAAGAUGGAACAUCUCAUUCUACACAUUUCAACUAUCAAACCCUGUUCUUUCAGUUAUAUCGAGUAAAAACCUAACUUAAUUGGUCUAUAUCUCAAUCACGAACGUCACAAUGUAACGAUAAGCGUUCUAAUCGUUACUAAAAUAUUUAUUCCGAUAGGAACUAGGUAUACAACCAACUAUACAGCGAGUUGUUUGAAGUGUUGCGUUGAUUUUCGGUGCGACUUGAUGGAAUAACUGGUAACAUUGGAAUUGUUAAGUUGGCAAUCUGUCAAGGAAUUUCCGCCGAACGUGGUUGACAGAAGUGAAAGGCUUCACUCUUUCGAAGGAUUUGGUAGAAAUCGCAUCUCCAAUGACCGGUGAUUCUAUCUAGAAUAGAAUUUAUGUUAAAAUUUGGUUUUAUGUGAAUGCUGAAUAUAAGUUAGAAGUUGUGGUUUUUUUUUGGUUUUGGUGAAGUAUAGGAGAGGAGUUUCGUUGCUUUUUACAGCAUCACCGGUCAUUGGAGAAGAAGGAGUCCAAGUUGUCAGUAAUUUUUUCUUUUAAAUGGAAACAUAAUAAGUUGGGAAUUUUGGGUCAAGUUUGUUGGAUUUUUUGCAUGGAAUUUUUGUUGAGUUUCUGGUACUAGGAAGUACCUCGUCGAGACAAGUACCCUCCACCCCUAAGGUUGGGAAAACCUGGAAAAUACCGUACUUGGGUCUCUUCCGAUCAUCACCCUCGAAGGAGGCUGGAUGAGAAACACACCUUCACUUGUGUAGAAGCAACAGGUUUUAUAAUUAAAAUUUGCAUGUCAAUUUAUUUAAUAAUACCUUUAAAUUUUACUCUUUUUGUCAAUAACUGUUAACUUACUUUAAUAAUAAUAUAUUUUCAUUUUUCUUAAAAUAUAAUUAACCUAAUAACAUUCAAUAUUUUCGAUAAAUUUAAUCUUUCCACUGUUUUUAUCAUUUGUUUACAAUAGUUUGAAGGUUGUAAACCAUCUUGUUGUAAGAGUGUUGUGCACAAUAUUCGGGAGUUUAGAACCUUAUUUUAUAACCUAUUUAAUAAAAUUUAUUUCAUCGGUCAGGUAUUGUCACUUCCGAUCAGAUACGAGAUUGUCAGCCAAUCUUGUAUCCCUCAUUAAUCAUAAGUUUGUACACACUGUUUGAUAGAAUUAAUUUCUUACAUAUUUUUCAUAUUGUAAAACCUGCGUUAUCGACAGGAACGUACUAGCCUAGUACGUCCGGUAGUUUAGCUAAUUGUGUAAAAAUUGUAUAUAGGGGCUAUAGGUAUUUUAUUUGAUUAAAUUUGGUUGUACAUA